CUUAACAUUCCCGUGACGAUCAUGUUAGAUUUUCAGUAAAUUUAUUUUUCUCUACUUGAACUCACUAUUUGGGAAUUUCCAAUCUAUUAGAUAUUUAACAUUUACGGGACGGUCACGUUAGACUUUCAGUAAAUUCUCUACUUUAAAUCACUAAAUUACAUAAGAAAUGGAGUAUGUUUAUAGACUUCUACGUCCUGAGGAAAAUUAUGAAAACGGUAUCAGAGCAAAAAAUCCGAAUUCUUCAACGUCUGUUUUCCGACACGUCCUUGGCGGAAGUUGGGGUCCUACAUCAAAGUACAUUUCAACAUGCGGAAGUUUGCAGGCCCUCAGGGAUUUUGCAUCAAAAUCAAGGAGGCCAGGGGAAAUUAUCAAAAUAAAAAUAGAUAUGCUGCCGGAAAAUGUUGAAAUAAUAGAUCUCCGAGACUACCUCGAAAGGAUGGAAUACAUUGAACACACUAAUGAUGAAGAUGAAACUAGGAAGUUCAAUAACUUUGCAAACAAAUUUGAGGAAGUACUUUUGGCAGGUUGUAUUCCAGCUAGCUGCAUUGAGCUUGUUUAAAUGGAAUUUCAACUUUUAUAUUUUUGCAACUAGGUCGACAAUUGUGGUCUCGGACCAUGUUAUUGUAGUUUUAUGACAUACUAAUUUAUUUAUUUAUUUGUUUUGUAAAUUUAUAAGAAACAUGUAUAUAUAUUGCAUGCGGGUUUUAAAAUCUGUUUUUAACCAUCAAACUGUGAUUCGUCAUAUUUAAUUUGUGAUAUGAUUUUUUAUACUUUUUUAAAAGUUGUAUGUUUACUGACUUUCAAUAUUUAAAUUAUAGUUAAGAACUGUUUAAAUUGUUAUAUCUUAUAUUAUUAAAGUAUUUAUAUUGAUAAUGGCA